rnacentral:rRNA from 1 species
UACGGGGGGGGCAAGCGUUGUUCGGAAUUACUGGGCGUAAAGGGUGCGUAGGCGGUCCGCUAAGUUAGAUGUGAAAACUCUGGGCUCAACCCCGGGACUGCAUUCGAUACUGUCGGGCUAGAGGUAGGUAGGGGAGAUCGGAAUUCCUGGUGUAGCGGUGAAAUGCGCAGAUAUCAGGAGGAACACCGGUGGCGAAGGCGGAUCUCUGGGCCUUACCUGACGCUCAGGCGCGAAAGCUAGGGGAGCGAACAGG